CUGGCGGGCUACAGCCCAUGGGAUCACAAAGAAUCAGACACGACUGAGCAACUAAACCACCACCAAGCAUAAUUUUAGUUUCUGUCAGAUUUUACUGGCUUGUGAGAAGAGGAAGGCUAAUCCUCGUUCUAAUGAGCUUAGCGCCCAGCUGGACAGUCAGAGAUAAACACAGGAAGCAAUCCAUCCCAGGCAUGGCUCAGGGCUGUCAUGCGCCCAGGCCCUCCCGGAUUUGGAGCUCAGAGGGUGGGAGGCGCGGGCCGCGGCCCCCGUGGACACAGCACACACCAGAUGGGGAUGCUUCCCAGCUCAGGUCAAAGGGCCCCUGACUCCCACGGGCUCCCACCACGCUGGGGGCGGACGUCAUUCUGGUCCUAGGAGGAGGGGCUUUGCAACUCCGCGUGUCCCGAUCCGGCCCGGGUCUCUGCCAGGGCAUCAAGUUGGCAUCCCCUCACUUUGGACCGACUCCCACUGUGACGGCGAGGCGGCCACAGCCUUAAGGGGCCCCUUGCACACUCACGUCCAGAAAGAACGUGAGGAGUCUGGAGCCCCAAGGAAUCCUGAGGGGCAGCUGCAAGGCAGUGAGGGUCCUGUUGGAGGGAUGGACAGGCUGGCGGUCACCGGAGCUGGGGGACGUCGGCGCCCAGGGGCCAGGCAGGAGGGGGUCAAGGAAGGGGGCCCGGAGUUGUGCCGGCGCCCUGCGGCCCCCAGGCAGGAGGGGGCGCCCCGGAGCUGGAGCUCGUCCUGGCAGCAGAGGGAUGGGCCCCUGGGCCCUCCUCCAGGCUGGGGGCUUGGCUUGUGGGAGCCCCCCACCCACCCCGAAGGUGUGAAGAAAGCAGCUCUGCAGAAGGUACUGCUGGGCUCAGGUGCAGAGCGUGGGGGCCGUGCAGGGGAGGGGGCUGCAGGGGCACCAGGGAGGAAGGGCACCCCCUUCCCCACCCAGCCCAUCUCUCCCCAGACCCCCUCGGGCCACCUGGACAGACGGGGCUGACCUGGUACUUACACCCCAGGUCAAGGUCCCCACCCCGACCCCAGGGACGAGCUGGCCUGACUGACACAGGAACCAACAGGCUGAGGCCCCCUCCUGAUGGAAGCGGGUCUGAAAACUCUGCUCUGUGGGGAAGUAGCCAGCCCCCUGCCCCAUCCACCUGACCUCCAGACAUCCCCUUCCUUCCCAGUAUGGGGGACAUUGCUGGGUCUACGGCAAGGUGAACAGGAGCUGCACCCACAUGACCCACGGGGCCAGAGGUGGGCUCCUGUCUGCCUGGGUCUUCCCCACCCACGGGCUGGGCUCCCUGGGUGCAUCCUGGCAAAAAUGGUCCCCUCACGGCGUCAUAGCAACCCUGGAGCAGGACAUGGGACGGUGCGGGGAAGUGAGCUGGAGCUGGUUGUCACGGGGAGUUGCUGACUGUUGCUAACAGCUUGCCAGGUGAGCCGUCAACCCUGCGCCUGGCAAACGGGGAAGAGGAAAGCAGAGAAACCAGCCAGGCGGUGGAGAGAGGGCCUGUCAGAGCUGGGUCUCUGUCUCUCGUGUCCCUGAGGAGCGAUGGAGAGAUCUGAUUCAUAGGCUGCCACCGUGGGCGUGUGCAGACUACCCUGACCCCUCAUUAGAAGUCUGCUCUGUUGAAUGAUAUCCCAGGACUGUUAAUUCCGGGAGCUUGAAAACCACUUAAGGAGUGUCUUCAGAAUAAAAUUAAGGGCUUGUACCCACAGGAAGAUUCUGGGCCACACUGACACAAGAUUCCACCCUGUUGCCAAGGAAUGUUUGCAUUUUCGGAGGUAUCUUCCAAGGAGAAAUCACAUUUUACAGCAAGAGGGAAGAAUGGAGGACAGAAUCCAUAAGACAUUUCAACUUUUCUGUGAUUCCCUGUUAACUUUCCUAGAAAAAUAAAAUCAAUACAGGAAGCAUAUGCAUGAAAGUAGCCCAUAGAUUAAUGCAUAAGAUGAUAUCCAGGUUGGCCAGCAAGAAGCUAACUGCCCAAGCAAUGCUCCAGAAGUGUGGGGAAGGCAUCUCGGUGGAUGAACCACAGACUCUGCUUUUAACAAAUCACCUCCACUCCAGCCAUGGAACGCUUCCAGACUCUACAGGCAUGUACCUGCAGAAGAGGGGCGGGUGAGGCGAGAUCACGUUCACUCCAACCACGGAAGCACUUCUGGUGUCUACAGGAGUGAGGAGGGUGAGGUGAGCGACGCUGAAGGUAGGUGGUCAUGAAUUCUAGACUUCGCUCAUCGUCAGGUGAUGGGAGCCCCGCUUAAGAGGUUUAGCAUCAGAAUAAACAAACAGCUUGGUUUAAGUGAAGGACAAUGUCAUCGAGGGCGUCUCCUGAGACGGAUUCUCUCAUGUCAGUGAUGUGCUGCUUUGGUGGGAUGUGUGUGGCUGAGGCUUUGCUUUACUCUUACUAUUUAUGAAUUUUAUUUUCACGGGAGGGUCAAGCCUGCCACGUCUGUGAAGACGCUUCCUCCUCCUGCCUCCGUCACUGCCUGCAGGAAGUGGCCAUCACGCUGCAUUUCCUUGUGAAAAGGGGACGAAAGGUCAACGCUCACUAAGAGGUCAUCUUCCUAGGUUGGGCUCAGAGUCUGCAGGUACCAUAGGUGUCCUGUGGGUACCAGAGACCAGCAUCAGGAGUGUGGACAAGACCCCCAGGCACGAGCCACACGGGAGGAAGUAUAACUUCCCUCAAGUAUCUUACUUCACCCCAACACAACUGUGUGAUGUAGCUUUGUUAGUUUUGCCAAGGAAGUCUAUUUCACGGUCCCACGGGGAUGCUCGAGUCGGUUCAGGGCUCGCCUGACCCCACCUACGUGAGAGGUGGACCCAAGACGCCGUGCUCUCCUGCUUCUAACCUGCCUCCUCCUUCUCAGCCUUCUGUACCCAGGGCCUGACUGAAGCCCCGAGACCUCAGCCCACAGACCUGCAGGCCCUGAGCUUACCCUAAUAAAACGCCUUUGGCAUCACACACGGAACCGCAGGCAACAAGGAACCUUCUGUAUGUCGUCGCCAAUGGAGUCUCUCUGAACGUCCGUGUUUUCCAUGAGUGAUCAGUCAGCACCAGGCUGUUUACACCUAGUGGAACAGUGGAAUGAAAGUUCCCAAACCCCGAGAGGCCAGCAGGGGAGAUCCCAGGAUGCACUGACUUUCUCUCAUUUCUCCUUAGUCAUGCAAAUAGCUGCAACCUUUCCUAUUUUGCAAAUAUGUUAAAAAUCACUACUACCAUCAUCCCCUUUCAAAUAUAUUUCAAAAUACUAUUAUGCUGUUUGCGCAGAGAAAGAAGAGCCACUAAGACUCAGCAAACACUAGGUUUAAAGUGCUUUUGGCCUCAACAGAAGGACGGCGCUGGCUUUGUCGGGCUGGGGUGCAGGGGCUCCUAGACCAGUCAGGGCCCUGAAACGCUGGGACCCAGGUCUUGUUCGUUUGCCGACAGCUGUGACUGACGGGCACUGGGGAGAGGACCGCCCCCUCUCACAGGCCCCGCCCUCCCGGAGGUGGGUGGAGCUAAGUGCCCAAGCCCCGCCCCCCGGAGCUUGCAGUGGGUGGAGUGCACGUUCUCCUGAGAACAAGUGAGGCGGCCCCUGGGCUCCGGGUUCCUGUGAGGUCAGAUCACACGUGCACACACAGGAGUGGGGGUCUCACAGAGGCAGGAGCAGAGGAAGGGGGGCCACACCCGCGUCCAUUCAGCAGGGACCACGCUCCCCAGGCGUCCCAGCCAGCAGGUGGGCAUCCUGUUCCCCAACAUCGCUCCGGGUCACAAAGCCAUCGAGUUUCUUCCAAAAGGCCUGAGCGCUUCCUGCUGGGCUGGGAACCUUGUUUCCCGACCCCCACCCACAAGGCCGAGUGUGGCCCUGAGCGUGGUGCUGAGCGCAGGGCCCAUGGGACGAACAUGCUCUGAAGACCACAUGCUUUCUGUCUCCGUGGGACACAUUCUUUCUAGAACGAGCAGGCAUUUGCUGCUUUGGAAAUCAUCUUCUGUGAGAUAAAUCUGUUGGCUAAAAUGCCCAAGAUUCUCAAGUGCUCAAGUCUUCAUUUCUGCUUUAAUUAAAUGACAGGGAGUCCGUG